rfam:Labrenzia suaedae strain DSM 22153 genome assembly, contig: Ga0131142_101
UGCCGGGGUUCCAUCCUCCGGGGUCACUUUUGAGGCACUUAUUACAUCAUUGCCAGACGUGCGGUUCGGUCUUCCGAUCCAAUCAACGGCAUCACACGCGGGUAAGCGUCCGGUCACCGUUUGUCCAACGGUCCCGUCGCCCAACCGUCGCCAUAUGCAAGCGCUUGCCUU